rnacentral:rRNA from 1 species
GACGAACGCUGGCGGCGUGCUUAACACAUGCAAGUCGAACGGAAAGGCCCUGCUUUUGUGGGGUGCUCGAGUGGCGAACGGGUGAGUAACACGUGAGUAACCUGCCCUUGACUUUGGGAUAACUUCAGGAAACUGGGGCUAAUACCGGAUAGGAGCUCCUGCUGCAUGGUGGGGGUUGGAAAGUUUCGGCGGUUGGGGAUGGACUCGCGGCUUAUCAGCUUGUUGGUGGGGUAGUGGCUUACCAAGGCUUUGACGGGUAGCCGGCCUGAGAGGGUGACCGGCCAAAUUGGGACUGAGAUACGGCCCAGACUCCUAAGGGAGGCAGCAGUGGGGAAUAUUGCACAAUGGGCGGAAGCCUGAUGCAGCAACGCCGCGUGCGGGAUGACGGCCUUCGGGUUGUAAACCGCUUUCGCCUGUGACGAAGCGUGAGUGACGGUAAUGGGUAAAGAAGCACCGGCUAACUACGUG